GAUGAACGCUGGCGGUAUGCUUAACACAUGCAAGUCGAACGGCAGCACGGUCUGUAGUAAUACAGAUGGGUGGCGAGUGGCGGACGGGUGAGUAAUACGCAGGAAUCUGCCCUAUAGAGGGGGAUAACUCGAGGAAACUCGAGCUAAUACCGCAUAGUCUCUACGGAGUAAAGCUGGGGCAACCUGGCGCUAUAGGAGGAGCCUGCGUCUGAUUAGCUAGUUGGUGGGGUAAAGGCCUACCAAGGCGACGAUCAGGAGGUGGUCUGAGAGGAUGAUCACCCACACUGGGACUGAGACACGGCCCAGACUCCUACGGGAGGCAGCAGUGGGGAAUAUUGGACAAUGGGGGCAACCCUGAUCCAGCAAUACCGCGUGUGUGAAGAAGGCCUUAGGGUUGUAAAGCACUUUAGGCGGGGAAGAAGGUAUGUAUUUUAAGAGAUAACAUAUUUGACGGUACCCGCAGAAUAAGUACCGGCUAACUCUGUGCCAGCCGCCGCGGUAA
rnacentral:rRNA from 1 species